GGAGAACAAGACAAAGCUAUAGUGAAAGCCCAAGCUCAUGCUAUAAGAUAUGAAACACAUAGCUCUUAUCUAAUAUACAUAAACAAUAAUGCAUCGUUGGGUUGCUUUCGCCAACCAAUAGGCCAUCCCAUUCUUGAAUUCAAAUUGGCUUGGAAAUUGGAAAUAUCGUUCCCUGUAAUCCAAAAUUUUUAUGCAAUAAGAGUGCGUGCCAAG
rnacentral:misc_RNA from 1 species